GACGGAUUGGCGGCAGCGAGAAGGCAGUGCAGGUGUGCGAGUUACUUUCAGGCUUUGAAAAACCUGGCAAUGAAUUAUUCUGGCUGAGUUCUGUCGCUUAUCAAGCAAAAAUCUGAGUUGCAAUCAGAGUUCUUCAAAGAUCUCGACAAAUAUACUCCUCGCUUCCUGGAGAAGUUCAAAACCCAGAGGGGGAAAGUGUCGUACAGAAACUUGAAUAUCUGCAACAAGUCACACGUGGGAGUACAGAUGUGACUGGGAGGUGAACAGCAGUCCUCCGUGGCUCUCCCGUCAUCCUUGGAGAUGACAACGCAGACUUCUUCAAGAAUUUGUGUGAGUUUAGGAUAGCAUGAAGCUUCGACUUGACCCUAUGGAAACACAGCAGAAGCCACCAACGGGUCCUGAUCGGGGACUCUAAUGACCUUCUGGACGUGUCCCACGCCUCCAUUGGGACCCUGACGGUGCUGAAGACAUUGUGGCCUCCUCACUCGCUGAACCUGGAGUCUACAGCUACUGCCAUCGUUUUGGGAGGAACAGUCGUGAUGGGUGACCGUGAUAAUCUUCCCUGUGCCGUGUGGCUACUCUUCGGACUUAUUUACCCCUGAAUUUGGAGUAUCCUCAACGAGUGAGGAAGACCUUCUGAAUUUAUUCAUAGAGUGCUUCUCACUUGGACCAAAAACCCUAAAAUACAAUCACUCAAAAAUCUACUGAUGCCAUAAGGGAAUGUGUUCAUGAUGUGCAGUCAGGCCCGAGAACUUCACCCUUCUAUCUCCAAUUGAACUCUUUUCUAGAAAAUGUCUGUUUUUGUUGUUUUCUGUCGUGAAAUUUAGCAAAUGCCGAAAACGCUGUGUUCAUCAUAUUUCUGCGUUACAAAACCUAAUCUGGCAACAUGUUCAGCGUUUUAAGCACGUUGUUUGAGUUUUAAAACGUGUUUUUCUUCUAAAUAAACAUCUUCCAUUGUAA